AUACAAAAAAUUUUAUAAAGCUUGAAGCAUUACUCCUAAUAUGGCGUUGAUUAAGCUUAGUUUCAUAUUCACUAUCAUUAUCAUGGCAGCCACUAUUAAUGUGCCUGGGUUUUCAAAGAAACAAGUUACAGCUACACCAGAUAUUGAUCAUGUAAUCUCAGGACUCAAAAGGAGAGUGCUCCCACAGUUUAAUACUUGUCUCAGAUCGUGUACGUCAGAUAGCGAUUGCAGUGAUUGUUGGAUUUGUUGUGCUUGUGGGCACAAUGCCAUAUAUCCCAAUCAAUUGGUGUGUUCAUCGAAUUUUUAGUAGUGGCAGUGACAAAUUACUAUUAUGCAUUAGUGUGUCUUUGUGUAAUUUCAAUGUUUGUUUGUCUUUUCUUAUUUACUUGUCUUUUAUGCUUUGAAAAAUAAUAAUAAUAAUUGGAUUUGCUAGCUUGUAUCAAAGCUAAGCAUGUCAUUUUCCUUUC